rnacentral:rRNA from 1 species
AUACAGAGGGUGCGAGCGUUAAUCGGAAUUACUGGGCGUAAAGGGCGCGUAGGUUGUAACAGCAGUCUGCUGUGAAAUACCCGGGCUUAACCUGGGGGAGUCAGCAGAAACCAUGUUACUAGAGUCGAGCAGAGGUUAGAGGAAUUUCCGGUGUAGCGGUGAAAUGCGUAGAUAUCGGAAGGAACAUCGGUGGCGAAGGCGUCUACCUGGGCGAAGACUGACACUGAGGCGCGAAAGCGUGGGGAGCAAACAGGAGUAGAAACCCCGGUAGUCC